rnacentral:rRNA from 1 species
AUACGUAGGUGACAAGCGUUAUCCGGAUUUACUGGGCGUAAAGGGCGUGUAGGCGGUCUUGCAAGUCAGAAGUGAAAUUCCUGAGCUCAACUCGGGCGCUGCUUCUGAAACUGCAGGACUUGAGUGCUGGAGGGGAUAGCGGAAUUCCUAGUGGAGCGGUAAAAUGCGCAGAUAUUAGGAAGAACACCGGUGGCGAAGGCGGCUAUCUGGACAGUAACUGACGCUGAGGCGCGAAAGCGUGGGGAGCAAACAGGAUUAGAUACCCUGGUAGUCCACGCUGUAAACGAUGAUUACUAGGUGUGGGGGGACUGACCCCUUCCGUGCCGCAGUUAACACAAUAAGUAAUCCACCUGGGGAGUACGGCCGCAAGGUUGAAACUCAAAUGAAUUGACGGGG